rnacentral:rRNA from 1 species
CCUACGGGAGGCAGCAGUGGGGAAUAUUGCACAAUGGGGGGAACCCUGAUGCAGCGACGCCGCGUGAGUGAAGAAGUAUUUCGGUAUGUAAAACUCUAUCAGCAGGGAAGAAAAUGACGGUACCUGACUAAGAAGCCCCGGCUAACUACGUGCCAGCAGCCGCGGUAAUACGUAGGGGGCAAGCGUUAUCCGGAUUUACUGGGUGUAAAUGGAGCGCAGACGGCUGUGCAAGUAUGGAGUGAAAGGCGGGGGCCCAAACCCCGGCCUGCCCUUGAAACUGUAAAGCUUGAGUGCAGGAGAGGUAAGCGGAAUUCCUAGUGUAGCGGUGAAAUGCGUAGAUAUUAGGAGGAACACCAGUGGCGAAGGCGGCUUACUGGACUGCAACUGACGUUGAGGCUCGAAAGCGUGGGGAGCAAACAGGAUUAGAUACCCUUGUAGUC